rnacentral:rRNA from 1 species
CGCGCAAAUUACCCAAUUCUAACAGUUUGAGAGAGGUAGUAACAAGAAAUAACAAUACAAGGCAAUUAAAAUGCUUUGUAAUUGGAAUGAUAGAAAUUUAAACCCUUUUUAAAGUAUCAAUUGGAGGGCAAGUCUGGUGCCAGCAGCCGCGGUAAUUCCAGCUCCAAUAGCGUAUAUUAAAAUUGUUGCAGUUAAAAAGCUCGUAGUUGAAGUUCUGCUAAAAGUAACCGGUCUGCUUUUAAUAAAAGUGGUAUCUUGGUGUGUAUUUAGCAAUGAUGUCCUUUGAAGUGUUUUUUACUUUAUUGUAAUAAAGCAUAUUCAGGACUUUUACUUUGAGAAAAUUAGAGUGUUUCUAGCAGGCCGACGCUUUGAAUACUGCAGCAUGGAAUAAUAAGAUAGGAUUUUAGUUCUACAUUAUUGGUUUUAAGAGCUAAAUUAAUGAUUGAUAGGGACAGUUGGGGGCAUUUGUAUUUAACUGUCAGAGGUGAAAUUCUUAGAUUUGUUAAAGACAAACUACUGCGAAAGCAUUUGCCAAAGAUGUUUUCAUUAAUCAAGAACGAAAGUUAGGGGAUCGAAGACGAUCAGAUACCGUCGUAGUCUUAACUAUAAACUAUGCCGACUAGAGAUUGGAGGUCGUCUUUAUAAACGACUCCUUCAGCACCUUA